UUUGAUCAUGGCUCAGAUUGAACGCUGGCGGCGCCUAACACAUGCAAGUCGAACGGUAGCACAGAGAGCUUGCUCUCGGGUGACGAGUGGCGGACGGGUGAGUAAUGUCUGGGAAACUGCCUGAUGGAGGGGGAUAACUACUGGAAACGGUAGCUAAUACCGCAUAACGUCUUCGGACCAAAGUGGGGGACCUUCGGGCCUCACACCAUCGGAUGUGCCCAGAUGGGAUUAGCUAGUAGGUGGGGUAAUGGCUCACCUAGGCGACGAUCCCUAGCUGGUCUGAGAGGAUGACCAGCCACACUGGAACUGAGACACGGUCCAGACUCCUACGGGAGGCAGCAGUGGGGAAUAUUGCACAAUGGGCGCAAGCCUGAUGCAGCCAUGCCGCGUGUAUGAAGAAGGCCUUCGGGUUGUAAAGUACUUUCAGCGGGGAGGAAGGCGAUAAGGUUAAUAACCUUGUCGAUUGACGUUACCCGCAGAAGAAGCACCGGCUAACUCCGUGCCAGCAGCCGCGGUAAUAC
rnacentral:rRNA from 1 species